rnacentral:rRNA from 1 species
CUCUCCAACCCCUGUGACAUACCACUUGUUGCCUCGGCGGAUCAGCCCGCUCCCGGUAAAACGGGACGGCCCGCCGAGGACCCCUAAACUCUGUUUCUAUGUCUAACUUCUGAGUAAAACCAUAAAUAAAUCAAAACUUUCAACAACGGAUCUCUUGGUUCUGGCAUCGAUGAAGAACGCAGCAAAAUGCGAUAAGUAAUGUGAAUUGCAGAAUUCAGUGAAUCAUCGAAUCUUUGAACGCACAUUGCGCCCGCCAGUAUUCUGGCGGGCAUGCCUGUUCGAGCGUCAUUUCACCCCUCAAGCAAAGCUCGGUGUUGGGACUCGCGUUAAUUCGCGUUCCUCAAAUUGAUUGGCGGUCACGUCGAGCUUCCAUAGGGUAGUAGUAAAACCCUCGUUACUGGUAAUCGUCGCGGCCACUCCGUUAAACCCCCACUUCUUAAUGUUGACCUCGGAUCAGGUUUGAAUACCCGCUGAACUUAAGC